GACGAACGCUGGCGGCGUGCUUAACACAUGCAAGUCGAACGAAGUGGCUUACGGGUGAGUAACGCGUAAUCAACCUGCCCUUCAGAGGGGGACAACAGUUGGAAACGACUGCUAAUACCGCAUACUGAAGGAGGGGAUUGCGUCUGAUUAGCUAUGUGGAGGGGUAACGGCCCACCAAGGCGAUGAUCAGUAGCCGGUCUGAGAGGAGGACCGGCCACAUUGGGACUGAGUCACGGGCCAGAGUCCUACGGGAGGCAGAAGUGGGGAAUCUGCCGCAAUGGACGAAAGUCUGACGGAGCAACGCGGCGUGAGUGAUGACGGCCUUCGGGUUGUAAAGCUCUGUUAAUCGGGACGCGGUACCGGAAUAGAAAGCCACGGCUAACUACGUGCCAGCAGCCGCGGUAAUAC
rnacentral:rRNA from 1 species